rnacentral:lncRNA from 1 species
GUAAUAAAUUUAUAAACAACUUAGACAAAAGAACCAAGAAAUUUUAUGGGACAAUAAGUGGAUUAUAUAUAGGAGUGAAAGAGAUAGGUGAGCCUUUAUGCUGAUACCUGAUACCUACUCCCUUCGGUCAUAUUGAAAGUAUCGUUUCUGACUUUUAGUUUGACCACUCGUCUUAUUUAAAAAAUUUUAUAUAAAUUUUAUUUAUUUUAUUAUAAUUUAUUUUUAUUAUUAGAGAUACUUUAAUAAUGAUUUAUUUAUUUUAGUAUUUACAUAAAAAUUUUAGAUAAAACAAACAGUUAAAUAAGAAGCCUAAAAAUAAUAAAAAAAAUAAUGGGAUAGAGCGAGUAGGCUACAAGCACCCGUACAUCUAAAGGAGGACAACAUUAUUUAGGGCUCCUUUUGAAGCACAAAUUGUAUAGGAAUUUUACAGAAUUUAAUUUAUUUUGGUAGAAAAGACACAAGAACAUGAAAAAAAAAUCUCACGUUCCAAAUGGGUGCUUAACCUUGCAAGUCGGACUGAUAUCUUUGAAACUACUCGUAGCUUGAGAAGAUCCGGCGGGGUGAUCUCUGCAAGUCGCCUCGAGACAUGCUGUUCUCUCUUGUUGGGGAGUACUGUACACCACAGUACCAACCAGCCCAUACCCAAAGCCAGUAGGCUGUAGGCGGCAGCUGCUCAUGGCUCCAUGCCUCUAGCUCUAGGCCCUCUGCUAUCGCCAUGACCAUAUUGCAAGGGGAUCCUAACCACGUCACCAUCACGUCUGCGAACUCAUCUGAUCGGCCUAAACGCCUUGCCUCCUCGAAAGAACCGAACAGCUUGCGAUUAUUGUUCAACGGAUUAACAAGACUUAAAAGAUUUAUCUAAUAAAUUAUACAUAAACCACAUAAU